GACGACGCUGGCGGCGUGCCUAAUACAUGCAAGUCGAACGAGCGGCGGACGGGUGAGUAAUGUCUGGGGAACUGCCUGAUAUAGGGGGAUAACUACUGGAAACGGUGGCUAAUACCGCAUACUAUCGGAUGAACCCAUAUGGGAUUAGCUAGUAGGUGGGGUAAAGGCUCACCUAGGCGACGAUCUCUAGCUGGUCUGAGAGGAUGACCAGCCACACUGGGACUGAGACACGGUCCAGACUCCUACGGGAGGCAGCAGUGGGGAAUAUUGCACAAUGGGCGCAAGCCUGAUACAGCCAUGCCGCGUGUAUGAAGAAGGCCUUAGGGUUGUAAAGUACUUUCAGCGGGGAGGCGUUACCCGCAGAAGAAGCACCGGCUAACUCCGUGCCAGCAGCCGCGGUAAUAC
rnacentral:rRNA from 1 species